AUUAAAUAGAGUUUGAUCCUAGCUCAGGAUGAACGCUGGCGGCGUGGAUAAGGCAUGCAAGUUGAACGGAACUAAUCCGACGGAAGUGUUGAUCGAAGUUGAUAAGUAUUUAUACAAGUUAACCUAGUGAUAUAUGGAAGACGGACAGUUUAGUAGCAAACGAGGUAGUAAUAUUUAGGAACGCACCCCAGAGUCUCGAAUAGCCCACCGAAAGGUGGAGUAAUACGGGAUGGUACCGCAAGGUUAAAGAUUUAUCGCUCUGGGAGCGGCUUAAACAGUAUCAGCUAGUUGGUAAGGUAAUGGCUUACCAAGGCUAUGACGCUUAGGAGAGGUGAGAGCCUGACCUCCACCGAUGGGACUGCGACACGGCCCAUACACCUACGGGUGGCUGCAGUCGAGAAUCUUCCACAAUGGACGAAAGUCUGAUGGAGCGACGCCGCGUGAUCGAUGAAGUGCUUCGGUAUGUAAAGAUCUUUUAUGAGGGAAGAAGUUUAUUGACGGUACCUCAUGAAUAAGGGCCUGCAAAACUCGUGCCAGCAGCAGCGGUAAUACGAGUGGCCCAAGCGUUAUCCGGAAUUAUUGGGCGUAAAGGAUGUGUAGGUGGUUAUAUUAGUCGGGUGUCUAACCUCUGUGCUCAACAUGGAGACAGCAUUCGAAACGGUAUGACUAGAGUAUGUCAGGGGUAAGCGGAACUCAUAGUGUAGGGGUGAAAUCCGUUGAUAUUAUGGGGAACACCAAAAGCGAAGGCAGCUUACUGGGACAUUACUGACACUGAAACAUGAAAGCGUGGGUAGCGAAUGGGAUUAGAUACCCCAGUAGUCCACGCCCUAAACGAUGUUCUCUCGCUAUCAUGAGUAUCGACCCUCAUGGUGGCUUAGCUAACGCGGUAAGAGAACCGCCUGGGA
rnacentral:rRNA from 1 species